rnacentral:rRNA from 1 species
UACGUAGGGGGCAAGCGUUAUCCGGAUUUACUGGGUGUAAAGGGAGCGUAGACGGUGAAGCAAGUCUGAAGUGAAAGGCGGGGGCUCAACCCCCGGACUGCUUUGGAAACUGUUGAACUAGAUUGCAGGAGAGGUAAGUGGAAUUCCUAGUGUAGCGGUGAAAUGCAUAGAUAUUAGGAGGAACACCAGUGGCGAAGGCGGCUUACUGGACUGUAACUGACACUGAGGCUCGAAAGCGUGGGGAGCAAACAGG